rnacentral:rRNA from 1 species
GACGAACGCUGGCGGCGUGCUUAACACAUGCAAGUCGAACGGAAAGGCCCUGCUUUUGUGGGGUGCUCGAGUGGCGAACGGGUGAGUAACACGUGAGUAACCUGCACUUGACUUUGGGGUAACUUCAGGAAACUGGGGCUCAUACCGGAUAGGAGCUCCUGCUGCAUGGUGGGGGUUGGAAAGUUACGGCGGUUGGGGCUGGACUCGCGGCUUAUCAGCUUGUUGGUGGGGUAGUGGCUUACCAAGGCUUUGACGGGUAGCCGGCCUGAGAGGGUGACCGGCCACAAGGGUACUGAGGUACGGCCCAGUCUCCUACGGGAGGCAGCAGUGGGGAAUAUUGCAGAAUGGGCGGAAGCCUGAUGCAGCAACGCCGCGUGCGGGAUGACGGCCUUCGGGUUGUAAACCGCUUUCGCCUGUGACGAAGCGUGAGUGACGGUAAUGGGUAAAGAAGCACCGGCUAACUACGUG